UACGAAGGGUGCAAGCGUUACUCGGAAUUACUGGGCGUAAAGCGUGCGUAGGCGGUUCGUUAAGUCUGAUGUGAAAGCCCUGGGCUCAACCUGGGAAUGGCAUUGGAAACUGGCGACCUAGAGUGCGGUAGAGGGUAGUGGAAUUCCCGGUGUAGCAGUGAAAUGCGUAGAGAUCGGGAGGAACAUCCGUGGCGAAGGCGACUACCUGGACCAGCACUGACACUGAGGCACGAAAGCGUGGGGAGCAAACAGG
rnacentral:rRNA from 1 species